GGGCGCAACGCAAAAAGCAUUUCUCUGUUUGUUUGUUUUCUUUCUUACGCUACAAAAUACUCCACAGUUCGUCUUUUUUCUCUAAUCAAAAUUCCCAACCGAUCCAUCGUCGACUCGAAGAAACCGAUCUUGGAUUCUGAAUGAAGAAUAAUUUCUAAAAUCGUUCUCAAUCAAUGUGUGUGCGGAUGCUCUCUCUUCAUCUCCGGCGUUGAUCGAUAUGCAUGCGGCUGACGGUGCUGUUCUUCUUCGUGUACAUUGCUGGAAAACGAUCGAGGAGCUCUGUACUGUUCUUCGUGUACAUUGCCGGAAAACGCUCGAGGAGCUCUGUUUUGUUUCACUUCUUCUGUGGAAUGAUGGCUGUCGACUUUUCAAGUGAUGGAUUAUGACUGGCAUUGUUGUCAUCUAGAGUACAGUUGUGAUGGCUCCUCUACGAGUCUCCGGCGGCGAAAACAGCUGCAGGUGGUUACAAAAUUCUUGGAUGUGAAAAUACAUAAACUCUUGAGCAAUAGAAUGCUUGAUUCAUAGGUAGCCUAUGAGAAGGUAUAUUUUCUUACUUGAAUAUUUCGUUACUAUCUUUUCUGGAUGAAUAAAGAUUUUGCUGAACGUCCUUAAUCCAACUUUCUAAACAGUACAACUCUUGAACAUAGUAUUUGUGGCAACUCUCAAUUCAUAAUAAAACUUUGACAAAAUUGAAUUGUGUUA